GCUACGUCGCAGGCCUGGCUAGGGGCGCGCGGGGUCUGGAACCAGUGGCGGGGCCUGCCCACGUCCUCCCCCCGGGAGCCGGGCGAAGGAGCUCGGGGCCUGGGAGCGGAGCUCGCCCUGGAGGCCGGGGGAAGGCGAAGCUAGGGUGCGGGGCCACAUGUGGGCCCUCGAACCGCCACCCUCAGUCUUCGCCACAUUGUCCAAGGGAACAGGUUUGCAGAUGCGGACCGAAUUGAUUUUCCGGGUGUCUCUCCAGCCUCCGGGGCGCCCGCCCCCCCCACAUAGAUAUUGGAAGGAGGAUUACGUGAACCCGUAGCCUGUUACGACACACCAAGCACCUUGCACAAAUAGGUAGUGCGCUCUGUUGACCCGUUACACUUGCCAGAAUCGCUGGAAGUGCCAUAUAUGGACAAGAUGUCUGGAUUGUUUCCUCAACACAUGAGACAGGAGGUCACUUCUGGAGGUCACUGAAAGGCAUUUUGUUUACUCAUGAACAAGUCAUUGCCGCUUUCAUUUAACCAAAUAACACCUAACGGUGUCUUUCAACAUGGCCUACCCAAGGAGGACCUUCCUAAUGGAAGCUAACGUUUUAUCCGUAAGCAAACUCCAGCCACCACUAUGUGGCCCAGGGACAAGGACUAAAUAAGUCACAGCUAUAGCAUUUCAGAGGCUCAUGGACCGGAUGAAACAGACACAGAAAGUGCUGACAAGGACACAGUGAUGAAAGUGUGUACUAAUGGCUAGAACAUAAAUUACAGGACCGUUCUGCCUGGGAGGAGAAGGAUGGGAAAACCACAGAAGAGUCAUGGAAGACCUCAAUCCAGAAUGUAAACGCAGUGUUCAAAGUUGUUGGACAAGGGCAUUAUAGGCAGAGGGAAGGGCUUGUGCAGAAGGAUGAAAAUGAAUGUUUUUUCCAGCACAGAUUUCAGCAUAAGUGCAGUAACAUAACUGUUGGAUCUUCCUUUUUUUUUUUUUUUUUUUCACUGUUGGAUCUUCUAUCUGCACACCUGACCCUAUUUAAAAGUUGACAAAGAUGAGGGGCGCCUGGGUGGCUCAGUCAGUUAAGCAUCUGACUCUUGAUUUCGAACUCAGGCCCUGAUCGUAGGAUCCGGCUCUGUGCUCAGUGAGGAGUCUGCUUGAACUUCUCUCUCCCUCCCUCUGUCCCUUCCCCAGCCCUGUGUGCACACACACUCACUCUCUUGAAUAACUAAAUCUUUUAAAAAAUUGAUAA